AUGAUUACCUGGCAGGGGAGAUGCCAUGAUUACAAAGGUGAUUUUCCCAGAGCAAGUCUUAUCCACUGCACUCCAGAUGUGCUGACCCCUGUGAUUUCCCCUAAUGUGGGAAACAAAACUGCAUAAUUUGUGUUAGUGGGGGGACUGCAUUCGUGCUCUCCCCUA